UGGGGAAUAUUGCACAAUGGGCGAAAGUCUGACGGAGCAACGCCGCGUGAGUGAAGAAGGUUUUCGGAUCGUAAAACUCUGUCUUUUGGGGCGAACGUGAGUAUGGUGAACAAUCAUAGUCAGUGACGGUACCAAAGGAGGAAGCCACGGCUAACUACGUGCCAGCAGCCGCGGUAAUACGUAGGUGGCAAGCGUUGUCCGGAAUUAUUGGGCGUAAAGAGCGCGUAGGCGGGAUAGUCAGUCUGUUGUAAAAGUGCGGGGCUCAACCCCGUGAUGGCAAUGGAAACAGCUAUUCUUGAGUGCAGGAGAGGAAAGUGGAAUUCCCAGUGUAGCGGUGAAAUGCGUAGAUAUUGGGAGGAACACCAGUGGCGAAGGCGACUUUCUGGACUGUGUCUGACGCUGAGGCGCGAAAGCCAGGGGAGCGAACGGGAUUAGAUACCCCGGUAGUCCUGGCCGUAAACGAUGGGUACUAGGUGUGGGGGGUAUCGACCCCUUCCGUGCCGGAGUUAACGCAAUAAGUACCCCGCCUGGGGAGUACGGUCGCAAGACUGAAACUUAAAUGAAUUGAC
rnacentral:rRNA from 1 species